GCCCCACAAAGAACAUGGAGAACCCCAUCGAGUUGUUCAGCUUUUCAGAACCCACCAAGUCCACCUGGAAAACAUAAAUAUGGAAAUUUAUGACACACAAGGUCUACCAGUACUCACCAGUACAGGAAGUAGAAGGGCCAUGUACCCCCCACAGAAGAUGGCAAAGAAGACCGCGUAGAACAUGAGCAAGAUGUAGGAGGUGGCCAGAGGGGACAGAAGAUUAACCACACCACACAGGAUGAGUUGACGUCUCUGUUGGAAUCUUUCAAUCCAAAGAGUGGCAGGAGAACAAUAGAGGUAAGAACACAUUUUGUGGUGUGUUGUUCAAAGCUUUCUCAGAGCUGGUUUGUAUUUGCUGUUGUCUAUGCUGCAGUCAGAAUGUCUGUCAGUUCAGUGUCCAUGUGUGGCAGAGCUUUAUUGAAC